GUGUUUGCUUCAACACACAUAACUAAAAUUGGAAUGGUACAGAGAUGAUUAGCAUAGCCCCUACACGGGAGGGCAUUCAUGUCUGUGAAGCAUUCCACAUUUUU